rnacentral:rRNA from 1 species
UCCCCUAGUAACUGCGAGUGAAGCGGGACGAGCUCAAAUUUCGAAUCUGGCGGUCCUCGUGGCCGUCCGAGUUGUAAUCUAGAGAAGCGUCUUCCGCGCCGGCCCGUGUACAAGUCUCCUGGAAGGGAGCGUCAUAGAGGGUGAGAAUCCCGUCUCUGACACGGACCACCGGUGCUAUGUGAUGCGCUCUCGACGAGUCGAGUUGUUUGGGAAUGCAGCUCAAAACGGGUGGUAAACUCCAUCUAAAGCUAAAUACGGGCGAGAGACCGAUAGCGAACAAGUACCGUGAGGGAAAGAUGAAAAGAACUUUGGAAAGAGAGUUAAACAGUACGUGAAAUUGCUGAAAGGGAAACGCUCGACGUCAGUCGCGUCGGUCGGGGAUCAACCUUGCGCUUCGGCGCUGGGCGUACUUCCCGGUCCGACGGGUCAGCAUCAGUUUCGGUCGUCGUACAAUGGCGGAGGGAACGUGGCACUCUUUCCGAGUGUGUUAUAGCCUUUCGUCGGAUGCGUCGGCCGGGACUGAGGAACUCGGCGGUCGACCUUCGGGUCGGUGCUCAGGAUGCUGGCAUAAUGGCCUUGAGCGACCCGUCUUGAAACACGGACCAAGGAGUCUAACGUGCCUGCGAGUGUUCGGGUGGAAAACCCGUGCGCGAAACGAAAGUGAAAGUCGAGACCUCCGUCGUGGAGGGCACCGACGCCCGGACCCGAGUCUUCGACCAAGGAUCUGCGGUAGAGCAUGCACGUUGGGACCCGAAAGAUGGUGAACUAUGCCUGAAUAGGGUGAAGCCAGAGGAAACUCUGGUGGAGGCUCGUAGCGAUUCUGACGUGCAAAUCGAUCG